rnacentral:rRNA from 1 species
CCUACGGGUGGCAGCAGUGAGGAAUAUUGGUCAAUGGACGAGAGUCUGAACCAGCCAAGUAGCGUGAAGGAUGACUGCCCUAUGGGUUGUAAACUUCUUUUAUAUGGGAAUAAAAUGUUCCACGUGUGGGAUUUUGUAUGUACCAUAUGAAUAAGGUUCGGCUAACUCCGUGCCAGCAGCCGCGGUAAUACGGAGGAUCCUAGCGUUAUCCGGAUUUAUUGGGUUUAAAGGGAGCGUAGGUGGAUUGUUAAGUCAGUUGUGAAAGUUUGCGGCUCAACCGUAAAAUUGCAGUUGAAACUGGCAGUCUUGAGUACAGUAGAGGUGGGCGGAAUUCGUGGUGUAGCGGUGAAAUGCUUAGAUAUCACGAAGAACUCCGAUUGCGAAGGCAGUUCACUGGACUGCAACUGACACUGAGGCUCGAAAGUGUGGGUAUCAAACAGGAUUAGAUACCCGGGUAGUC